AGUGGGGGACGGUCCCCAUGAGCAACCACGGACGCCCCAUCGUAUAUUUACGACAUGUAUCCAUGUGCAUGUAUUUGACGCACGACUAAAAUAUAGUUUUUCUUUUCAGUGAUUUCUUCUCAGUUUAAACAACAAUUUCGUUUGUUGGAUAAACACGAAAUAUAGAUAAAAAUUUUGGACAAUAUUUGUAAAAUUUUGGACAAUAUUUGUAAAAAUUUUCACAAUUUUGGCCUUGUUUAGUUCCCAAAAAAUUUAUAAAAUUUUUCAGAUUUCUCGUCACAUCAAAUCUUAUGGCACAUGCAUGAAGCAUUAAAUAUAGAUAAAAAUAACUAAUUGCACAGUUUAUUUGUAAUUUACGAGAGGAAUCUUUUAAGCCUAGUUAGUCUAGGAUUGGACAAUAUUUGUCAAAUACAAAUGAAAGAUUUACGGUGUCCAUAUUAAAAAAAAAGUAAACAAGACCUUUAUGGUAGGUGCCCACUGUUGCUCCAUGGGUACCUGUCUUCACCUAAUUUUUUUCCCAUACAAUAACAAGCCGGGCUUUCAUCCAUGUGCCUAGUAGGAUGGUGUCCAAAAAAAUAAAUUUUAUGUCCAUCCAGGUAGACUAAAAAUUAACGCCAGGUAUGAAUUUUGGAUCAUCCUAAAAAAAUAAUUCUAAAUAUUCCCAAAAAGAAGAAAAGGAGACAUAGAAUAGCAGUAAUAAUUAACUGGCAUUGUAUUCUUAUUAAAUUGCGAAGAAAAUGUUAACAACAUCGAAGAAAAAGAUUUUCUAACUAACUACUUCCUUCGUCACUUAUUAAUUGUCGGUCCGGCUUGCUAAAUAAUAACUUUGAAUAAAUUUAUAUAAAAUAUUAAUAUUUAUGAUAUAUAAUUAGUAAGUUGGACGUAUUAUUGAAUCUAUAAUAAAUUUAUUAAGAGAUAGAAAGAUUAAUAAUGUUUUUUUUAUAAAUCUAGUCAAAGUUACGGCACACAAUCAAGCCAACAAUGACAAAUAUUGAGGGAUGGAUCAGGGAGUAUAUUCCAUUGCACAACACAACGUAUCAACAUGAUGGCACAACAAACUUCCCCAAACCUGGUGCUCAAGUCAUUGUCGCACGUGGUGGUAGAGUACAAGCACGAAUUGAAUCCGACACAAGUAUAACACUAGCAGACACUGCAUUUUGGACUCAUACAUAACAACUCCGGAACGCAGUAGCCAUCUGUGAUGUGAGGCCACAAACACAAGCAGAGGCAGCGCAAGCCUGAGGCCACAAACACAAGAGGCAACACAAGCGAGGCCACCACUGGCACUGGUUACUUUGUUUAAUUUCGGAAAGAUAGCGACUCGAUCGGUUAUUUCACUACACGAUAAGAACAGAAAAUCCCUGUCGGUUAUAGGAAUUCUGGACGGUUUUCCGAAAACUGACUUCUGGGCUAGACAAAACCCACACUAGUGAGUGAAAAUUUCUGACGGCUAUAUUGAACCGACAUGAAACAGGGAAAGCCGGCAGGAACAAGCGGGUGGUUCUGAUGACGGUAAAAAAAACGAGAUGAAUUUCUUCUAGCAGUCAUCUCUGGUACUGGUUAAAUUUCAUUAUGUCUGAUCAAAAUUAUAUAAAAUACUAAUAAUAUUUAAUUUAUGACAUCUGGCACUAAUUUAGUUUCAUAAAUCUUGGGUAGGGGUGCCAUGGCCGGAGCUUGAAGCUCGGCGUUGUCGGCGAUGGUGGCGCUCCGGCAAACCCCGGUGGGGUGGUAGCUGGCUGCGGAGGCGAGGGCGAGAAGGAUGACAGGGUUGAAAACGAGCGAAGAAAGGAAGAAGAUACCCACGAGAGAGUGUUCGUCAUGAGGAGGAUCGUGGAGAAGAAGCUGUCGUGAGGAAGAAGAUGAGGUCAUGCACUCCCUGAGGGCGCAGCGGGUCACGGGAUGACGCGGUGCAACCUGAAUGAUUGAAUCCAAGCCUCGGCCUUCUAAUUUGACGUCGGGCUCUUCUUCUCCUGUGGCAUCUUGUAGAAGUUGGGGUUGCGCACGUUGUGAUGACUGAUGAUCCGAGAGAUUGGAGAACACCUGAUUAUAUAAUCACUAAGUCAAUUUACUUUUGCUGACAUGGCACCUCGUAGACACUGGAAUAAUUUAUCUCCUAGCUUGACCGUGAAUGUAGGCUUGUUUUCUAUGAACCAGACAACACCACUCGCUAUCGUGCUUUGGCGUUGCGGUGUUGGUAUGACUGUAACGCUACAACGACGUGCGUGUCUUGCUCCUCCGAUCGUGACAUGGCUAGUGGCUUGAGUCCUAAAUUAAAGCAAGAGAGAAGCAGCAACUGUCAAAGCUGUUCGUAUAUGCACGGAAGCACGUGUGGCGAGCAGUGCCACCUGAAUGAGUGAAUCCUCGUUUUGGAUAUCUGUCGUUGCGCCGCCCUCGCGUUCUAAAAGAAAAGUCGUUUAGGUCCUGUUCAGGUCAAGUUGUCCCAACAGUCUUGCGAUCUGCUUGAAACUGUGUUUCAUGCUAAUUAAAAUAGAUAUCUUUUUAAACACCUUCAAGAAUUCAAGUUCUUUAAAACACGCAUUUAUAAAAGACUAGUGUGCGAUAAAGCUAAAAAUAGUUGCUUCUCGUAGCUUCAAUUCCCUUUAGUGGGACUAUGUGAUCAUGUUUAAGAAACUUCAUAUGCAAAACACUAUUUUACUAAAUGGAUCAACAAAAUAGUUUCAACUCUAUCGAUCGAUAGACCUACCUGAUCAUGACUGUGAAGCACAAAAACAAAGCUACUUCACACGUAAAACUCUAGCUACGAAAAAGCAGACGAGUGGACGACAAGUUGCCGCUGCUCAUUCUGUACAAGACAUCAACGUUCUUCAGAGCUUCAACAACGACAGGCAUGUUGUGCGUGCAUGUGCAAUGGAGAUGGAGAUAAGUCGCUUAUUAGCAUUCUGGAAAUACUGACGUGUCGUCGGCCGGGCGCGCACGCGCGGUCUCAUUCACCAAGAUUACAUCGUACUGUACUGGCUACACAUGUUGAGUUCGUGACGAUGCACGCUAGAGCUGCAUACGCGGCUGAGUGCAGACCGUUGGUGAUGACUAGUGACUCCCCACCGGUACGGUGGGCGCGAGAGUACAGACGUGUCAGUCGCGCUGGCAGCGAGGCCACCACUGACACGUCGUCGCAAUCGCCUUCAAACAGCUAGUUUGUUGCAGUGAACGCGACCGGCCGGGCCGGGUGUGCUGCGUCGGUCUCGACUGUGCAUGCAUGCGCGUCCACGUGAAGCUCACGCGGGGUCCAGAUUGGCGCUGCAUAUGUCCCGGUGGAGUGGGAGUGCGGAACACGACAGCGACACGUCGACGGCGCGCGCCACGUACGUACACACCAAUCUACCGACCGGUGCUCUCGCAGCACUGACGAUCGACUGUUCCGGCCACGCUCUCGAGUCUCGUCGACGGUACUCGGAAAACGGACGCUUGCUGCCUGCUGCUAGCUUCUCGAUGGGCGGGAUUACCAAAUUAUUCUGCUAGCCUUUGUUCCGUUUGUUCGUCGCACCAAAAGUAAUUACUCAUCAGGUUUUUUAAAAAAGUAAUUACACGUCAACAGGUGCCGGUACAGGUACAAAGUGGCUAAAGCCAUGUUUAGUUUCCUAGGUUAAAAGUUUUUAAGUACUACAUAUAUUUUUAUUUGCACUUUGCAAUUAUUAUUCAACCAUAGACUAAAUAGCUUAAAAGAUUCGUAUCGCAAAUUAAAAAUAAACUAUACAAUUAGUUAUUUUUCUAUAUUUAAUGUUCCAUACAUGUUAAAAGAUUUAAUUUGACAGAAAUCUUGAAAAGCUUUUGGGUUUUAGGUGUAACUAAACAAGACCUAAGACUAAUGACUAGUUGUCCUAAGGGAGGGAGAGAAGAGGGAUUGAGGCGGCAUGGGGACAAUUCCCUGGACGACGAUGCGGUUUUUUUUUUGCAUUUAAUAUCAUGUAACAGUAGAAUUUUUGAUGACUUGGUAGGUUCGUUAUGGAGAGAGAUAGAGAAAGUUUAAUAGAAUUUCAUCAGGAUGAAAUAUGUUGUCAAUUUUAUGCCAGUAGUUAACUAGAGGAGUAAACUUCUCUGGUUCGGACGAAGAUGGGCCGAAAGUGGUAGAAGACUGUAGCGAGAAAGAAAAUGGGCCUGUACAAGUACAAUCUCAUUGAUGCAGUUUGUUGCCGCCUUGGGCCUAUAGCCCACCUCUGGUGUUUCAGCCGGGGUACAACACAUUUUUCAGGUUGCUGUCAGCGUUCACCAGUCAGAAUUUUUUUUUUUAUUUUUAACCCAAAUUUCAAACAUAUUUCAAAUUUGACCCGCUUUGAAAAAUAUUUUCAAAACUAGGCCGUUUGGACCCGCCACCAUGCAUGGCGGGGCAAAUACACAGAACCCCGCCAUGCAUGGCGGCGGGGUACUACUGCUGAUGUGGCAUGGUUCAGGGAGACACCUCCUGAUGUGGCUAACACGUGGCGGGGUACGUGGCAAAAAGUACCCCGCCACCCAUCAUGGCGGGAUGCAACCCCGCCGCGCAUCAUGGCGGGGUGCUCCCUGUUUGACAAAAUGACCCACCCUCUGCUUUCUCUUUGUACCCUGGUGGCACUUUCGUUUAUUUGUGAUAAUUAUUGUCUGUAAAUUGCACUAAUUAUACAGUUUGCCUGUAAAUCACGAGACGAAUCUUUUAAGCCUAGUUACUUUAUAAUUAGAUUUUUUAUUAAAUAAAAAUAAAAUUACUACAUGGUUAAAAUCUAAAAAGUUUUUGAAUAUAAACAAGUCCAAGUGUAUACGUGGAGAGAGAGGGUCAAGCCGCAUGGGCAAGAUGACAUGAGAGGGAAAGUGAUAGUAGUCUAGGGUAUUGGGCCUUGUUUAGUUCUCAAAAAAUUUUGCAAAAUUUUUCAAAUUCUCCGUCACAUUAAAUCUUUAGACGUAUAUUUUUAACUUUAAAAAAAUUUAUUUAAAAAUUAGAUUUAAAUAUCAAUCUAAUAAUACUAAUUUUAUAUCAUAAAUAUUAAUAUUUUUAAUUAAUAUUUAAUCAAAGUUAUUUUUCAAAGAAAAAAUAACAAAGAGCAAAACUAUAGCAGCGGCACAGUGCAUGCUGCGCGCAGCACUGUGCACGCGUGCUGCUACUACAGCAGCAGCACUGAUGUACAGCCCUGUCCAGCAGCAGCAGGAGCACUGUACGCACAGAGUGCCGCUGCGCUAGUUUUCCCAUUCCGAAAUGUCUGUUUAUUUUUUUUUCCAAAAAAUAACUUUGAUUAAAUAUUUACUAAAAAUAUUAAUAUUUAUAAUAUAAAAUUAGUAUCAUUAAAUAUAUAUUUAAAUCUAAUUUUUGAAUAAAUUUAUUUAAAAUUCGAAAUAUACGUCUAAAGAAAUUUGAAAAAUUUUGCAAAAUUUUUUGAAUUAGGGUUUAGGGUUUAGGGUUGCAUGACCCAACACCCUACAGUCACUUUGCCUCUCACAUCAGGUUGCAUGCGCAGCCUCUCCCACGCAUACACACUAUAGCCUGAACUUGUUUAGAUACAAAAACUUUUUAGAUUUUAACACUGUAGUAAUUUCGUUUUUAUUUAAUAAAAAAUAUCUAAUUAUAAAGUAAUUAGGCUUAAAAGAUUCGUCUCGUGAUUUACAGGCAAACUGUAUAAUUAGUGCAAUUUACAGACAAUAAUUAUCACAAAUGAAUGAAAGUGCCACAAGAGAACAAAGAGAAAGCAGAGGGUGGGCCAUUUUGUUAGACAGAGAGCACCCCGCCAUGAUACGCGGCGGGGUUGCAUCCCGACGUGAUGCGUGGCGGGGUACUCUUUGCCACGUACCCCGCCACGUGUUAGCCACGUCAGCAGGUGUCCCCUUGAACCAUGCCACGUCAGCAGUAGUACCCCGCCGCCAUGCAUGGCGGGGUUCUGUGUAUUUGUCCCGCCAUGCAUGGUGGCGGGUCCAAACGGCCUAGUUUUGAAAAUAUUUUUCAAAGCGGGUCAAAUUUGAAAUAUGUUUGAAAUUUGAGCUAAAAAUAAAAAAAAUUCACCAGUCACCACUAAUUCCGUGUGUGGGUACACAUUAGCGGAUUAGCGCCUUUUGUCUGUCUGGCGGCUCUUUGGCUAUUAACAUGGGCGGAUAUAGAGGGUAUUCCUGGUAUUCCCAGGAAUACCCAACUUUUUUAUGCACUAAGUAUAUAUAGACAUAUUUAUAUAUAUGUAUAUUUAAUAUAUAAGCAUUUCUAUAUUUAGCAAAUAAAAUUUCUCUAUUAUUCUUUUUAGUCUAUUCUUGUAUUUCUUUUUCCACACAAGUUUUAGCUUGAUUGCCGAAAUUAUUCUAUUUUAUUGUUUCUGCAAAUGAGAACCAAUAUUUAUCUCUAGACCACAUACAUAUUAACUCAUGCCACCAAAUAUUAGUACAAAUCAUAUCUUGUUUUCAAACUCUUUUCCAAGAUAAAUCGGAAUAUGCACAUGGCAAUAUGUAUAAUAAAGUAUUCUUUUCGUGUGAGUGAACGAGACAUGAGUGGGAGGCAAUUCCAUAAUCCUCAUUCCUAAAUCUCUAACUCUAGCCGACCAACAUGGUGGCGGCACUACUGUUUCUAGUGUCAUGAGCUCUUAGCGGCACGGGCUGUGCAGCGCGGGUGCGGCCCCUGUCUCUUUGUCUGCCUAUAUGGCAACUGACGAGGGCACACGUCGUUCAUGAGGUUAGAGACAACAGCUGAGUGGUGGCCCACCAAACAUCAGUAAGGGAAUACCCAAGAUUCAAAUCCUGGCUCCGCCACCGGCUAUUAAUCAAUUGCCCUCACGCAGGAUGGCUACAAACCCUACCAUUACCAGUAUGGGCAGGCAUAAUAUAAUUUUAUCAGUUUUCCGAGUCAAAGCAAUAAGAUAUAUAUGUAUAUCAUCACUCGUAAGGAUCGCACGCACACCACACCACCCUUUUCCUUUUCUCAGGGUCUCAUGGAGAAGAUGGAAACACAGCCAAAAGGACAAUCACUUUGUUAAUAAUCUAUAUGCGCUGCCAGGUCACCAGGUUCGACGAAAGCUUUUCUGAAGAAAAACAACACCUAAAACACACACACACGAUCGACCUGGCUGGUAGUGCUUCAUUCCACCAGCAAUGUCUAUCGUCUACUGCAGUACCUUCCAAUUUUCUCUCCCUUUUCUCUUUAUUAUUAUUAUUAAAAAUGUAUACGUUUCCCUGACCAUGCAUCAUGCAUUAUUGUACUACUCGAUCCAACUAGUUUCGACGACGACGCCGAUCGUCCGGUAAAAAGUCUGCUCUCGAUCGGCAAGUCAAACCGCCCAGCACGGUGUCCGCCUGUCCUCUUCUCUCUGAAGCGCGCGCUGCUUUCCGUCAGAAGGAGUCGCACCACAGGAGUUGCCGCGCAGCCAGCUGAAUUGAGCUGAGAUGUCGGCAUAUAUAUGCUUGCACGCAGCAGAGUGCGCGCCCGCCCUUGCACACCCCGACGUGCGCGCGCUGCCGGCCAGACUCACGCACGCAUGACCGGCCGGCCGGCUUAUCGCGGGUCGGCACCGCUAGAUCGACUGCCGGAGCGCAGUAGUGCAGUGCAGAGGCCACCAAACCGAGAGAUCUCGGUUUGACCUGGACCUCCGCCGCGCGAAUCGAUCGAGUCAGCGAGCACUAGCUAUAGCUGGCCGGCCACCCAGACCCCCCCUACCCCCACCCCACCACGCGCGCGGGCGGCUCUUCGAGGGUGCGCGAUCCAUCCAGGCCGCCGCCCGCCGGCCCACGCCCGCGCCGCGCCUAUAUAAACCCGCGCGCGCCCUUCGCGGAGCAUCGGGCAACCGCACCUCCAUCCACUCCUCUUCAGUCUUCACCCACUCUAGCUGGGAAGAACGAGAACGUCGACGUCGACGAAGGUAGUUGGCAUCGCAUCGAGUAGCUACUGUGUGCAUGGCGAAGGUUGUUAGCGUCGACAUGGCCGGCGUGGUCGCGCUGCUGUGCGUCGUCCUGCUACUCUUGUCGUCCGCCGUGACGACGACAGAGGCCGCCGGCAGGCAUUUGGGGAUGGGGAGGAGGGACGACGGCGCGGCCGUGGCUACUGCGGCGUCGGCAGCGGCGACUACUGCUCCUGCUGACACGACGACCGUGACGAGGACGGGGCGGCGGCUUGGUAAUAAGGUAAUGCGAGAGGAGAUGGAGACGGCCACGACGGACGGCGACGGCGCCGGUAUCGGCGAGUCCAAGAGGCGGAGCCCUGGCGGCCCGGAUCCUCAGCAUCACUGAACUGAAACAAGAUGCAUGCCGCCGGUGCUGUCUGCCGAGAUCGACUGCAUGUGCGUGAACGUCAUCUGAACACAGUUGGAUACGAAAAGGGCUAGCGUCUGUGCUCGUACACAAAUAAAAAGAAGAUGUUGUUUUAGUUUUUCAUUACAGCUUAUAUAUUGUAGAACCAUCUGCUAUCUAGCCGUCACCCUCAGCCAGAGUCAUAGACCAGAUUUUAUAUCUGAAAAAUAGGUAUAAUCUAUGCAAUGGUUCUUCUGAGAGCUCAGAAAGAAUAAUAAUGUAAUAAGAGGACUUUAUUUUGAUCUCUUCGUGUCCCAUUUCGUCUGCAGUUUAUGUUCGCAUUAAUUGGGCCAAUUGAAGACGAACAGGAGCUGCUCUAGUUUUAAGGCUAAUAGUGUUGCAACUGCAGAACCUGUUAUGCAGAUCAGCAGAGAUGUACAGCUAGCGUGCCAUGAAAAUUUUCAAUCUCAU
rnacentral:lncRNA from 1 species